UACGGAGGGUGCAAGCGUUAUCCGGAUUCACUGGGUUUAAAGGGUGCGUAGGUGGGCUGGUAAGUCAGUGGUGAAAUCUCCAGGCUUAACUUGGAAACUGCCAUUGAUACUAUCAGUCUUGAAUACCGUGGAGGUCAGCGGAAUAUGUCAUGUAGCGGUGAAAUGCUUAGAUAUGACAUAGAACACCAAUUGCGAAGGCAGCUGGCUACACGAAUAUUGACACUGAUGCACGAAAGCGUGGGGAUCAAACAG
rnacentral:rRNA from 1 species